AUGCAGCCGGCAGAGAUGGACCCUCUGACUGCCCCCCCUCCUUCCCGCUGGCCCUCGCUGCUCCAGUUCUUCAGAAACCUCUUUGGGCUCAGGAGGGGCGCGCGGAAGAGCCAAGAGACUGGUGCCGAGAUGGAAGAAGUGGGAAACAUCAGGGACCAAGAAGACACGAGCAGCCCAGCAAUUUCCUCCACCACCGAGUUCAAGACCAUCCUGCCGGUGGGUAACAAGCUAGAGGGCGACCCCCUGGCCAAGGAGUCUCUGGGAGAGAGGCUGGAGGAGAUUGUCAAGGAGCUGAAGGAAAUCAGUCUCGGGGGGAACCCGUCAAGCAGGGGCGACCAGUCCCCUUCGAUGCCAGGCACCAGUGGCAUGGAGAUGGGAGACUCCUCCGACUGGCCCAUGACAGACCUCUCCGAGAGCAGCGAUGGUAUCGAUGGCAGCAGGAGCGAGGAGGAGAAUCACCUUGCAGGGGAUGAAGGGGCAGCUCCUGCUCCUGAUGCUGCUGGUCCUCCGGCUCCUGUUGGAUGGAGGAGCAGGCCCUCGCUGCUCCAGCUCCUCAGGAAUCUCCCUGGGCUCAGGAAGAGCACACGGGAGGGCCAAGGAACCAGCGCUAGGGUGAAAACAGUGAAAAACAUCAAGGGCCAAGAUGCAGACAACCCAGCAGAUCCAGCAGCAGCUGAGUCUGAGCCCAUCCUGCCGUCAGGCAAACAGCUCACAGGCAACCCCCUGGCUGAUGAACCUCAGGAAAACACACUGGAGGAGUUUGCGGAGGAGAUCAAGGAAGAACUGAAGGAAAUCAGUCUUGGAGGCACCUCUCUGACCAGGGGCAUGGAGAUGGGAGACUCUCCAGGCUUUGCUAACAUCCCUCUGAGUAGGGAAGGCAGGAUGGCACAGGAGCUAGAUGGCAAAACCUCUGGCCAGGCAGUGAAGUUCAUGGAAGAAGCUUCUGGGGACACAGGAUCUUUGAGAAAGGCCAGGGUCUCCCAGGUUCUGCUGGCCAACACCGAAGGGCUUGCAUCAGCUGCAGGAGACCUGCCAACACCCAUGGAGGACUUCGGUGGUGAGGAUGAGAGGGAGCAUCUGCUCAAAGGUGAGGGUCAUGCACUCUGCUGUUGGGAGAGGCUUCUGACUACGUGUCUGCAUAAAGACUGGCUGAUAUAAUAAACCCUGAUCACCCCGAGACACAAGCACCUUUAAUGCUAUUCUCCUGCUAGGUAAUUUAACACGCUGUCAUGUGUUUAAAUACACAAGGGGAGAUUGUCUGCUGGGGUAACUCCAUUCACUCCCCUGGAGGUGCACCAGCAGAGGAGGGCUAGGGCUUGGCCCAGGGGGGCAGGAACUUGCUCACAUGCUGUACAUGAGGCGCGUGUUAUCAUUCCAUAUAGGGCAGCAUAAAGGAUGUAGGAGACGGCCUUCAAAGGAUUUGCUCCUUAAUUUGGGAUCUUU
rnacentral:lncRNA from 1 species